rnacentral:rRNA from 1 species
AACGAACGCUGGCGGCAGGCCUAACACAUGCAAGUCGAGCGAGGACUUCGGUUCUAGCGGCGGACGGGUGAGUAACGCGUGGGAAUGUGCCCUUCUCUACGGAAUAGCCCUGGGAAACUGGGAGGAAUACCGUAUACGCCCUAUUGGGGAAAGAUUUAUCGGAGAAGGAUCAGCCCGCGUUGGAUUAGGUAGUUGGUGGGGUAAUGGCCUACCAAGCCGACGAUCCAUAGCUGGUUUGAGAGGAUGAUCAGCCACACUGGGACUGAGACACGGCCCAGACUCCUACGGGAGGCAGCAGUGGGGAAUCUUAGACAAUGGGGGCAACCCUGAUCUAGCCAUGCCGCGUGAGUGCUGAAGGCCUUAGGGUUGUAAAGCUCUUUCAGCUGGGAAGAUAAUGACGGUACCAGCAGAAGAAGCCCCGGCUAACUCCGUG